rnacentral:tRNA from 1 species
UAGCUUAGAUGAUAAAGCAUCUGCCUGCAAUGUAGGAGACCAGGGUUCAAUCCCUG